UGGGCAACCUGCCCUCAGCUCUGGGAUAACCCCGGGAAACCGGGGCUAAUACCGGAUACGACCUCCGCGGGCAUCUGCGGAGGUGGAAAGGUUUUCCGGCUGAGGAUGGGCCCGCGGCCUAUCAGCUAGUUGGUGUGGGUAAUGGCCCACCAAGGCGACGACGGGUAGCCGACCUGAGAGGGUGACCGGCCACACUGGGACUGAGACACGGCCCAGACUCCUACGGGAG
rnacentral:rRNA from 1 species